CCUACGGGUGGCAGCAGUGAGGAAUAUUGGUCAAUGGACGCAAGUCUGAACCAGCCAUGCCGCGUGCAGGAUGACGGCUCUAUGAGUUGUAAACUGCUUUUGUACGAGGGUAAACCCCGAUACGUGUAUCGGGUUGAAAGUAUCGUACGAAUAAGGAUCGGCUAACUCCGUGCCAGCAGCCGCGGUAAUACGGAGGAUCAGAGCGUUAUCCGGAUUUAUUGGGUUUAAAGGGUGCGUAGGCGGUUUGAUAAGUUAGAGGUGAAAUGUCGGGGCUCAACCCCGAAACUGCCUCUAAGACUGUUAGACUAGAGAAUAGUUGCGGGAGGCGGAAUGUAUGGUGUAGCGGUGAAAUGCUUAGAGAUCAUACAGAACACCGAUUGCGAAGGCAGCUUACCAAACUAUAUCUGACGUUGAGGCACGAAAGCGUGGGUAGCAAACAGGAUUAGAUACCCCAGUAGUC
rnacentral:rRNA from 1 species